AUUGAACGCUGGCGGCAUGCCUUACACAUGCAAGUCGAACGGCAGCACGGGGCAACCUGGUGGCGAGUGGCGAACGGGUGAGUAAUGCAUCGGAACGUACCUUUCAGUGGGGGAUAACGUAGCGAAAGUUACGCUAAUACCGCAUAUUCUGUGAGCAGGAAAGCAGGGGAUCGCAAGACCUUGCCCUGAUGGAGCGGCCGAUGUCAGAUUAGCUAGUUGGUGAGGUAAAGGCUCACCAAGGCGACGAUCUGGAGCGGGUCUGAGAGGAUGAUCCGCCACACUGGAACUGAGACACGGUCCAGACUCCUACGGGAGGCAGCAGUGGGGAAUUUUGGACAAUGGGGGCAACCCUGAUCCAGCCAUGCCGCGUGAGUGAAGAAGGCCUUUGGGUUGUAAAGCUCUUUCGGCCGGGAAGAAAUCGCACGGGCUAAUACCCUGUGUGGAUGACGGUACCGGAAUAAGAAGCACCGGCUAACUACGUGCCAGCCGCCGCCGUAACAC
rnacentral:rRNA from 1 species